UACGAAGGGGGCUAGCGUUGUUCGGAAUUAUUGGGCGUAAAGAGCGUGUAGGCGGUCCGGUAAGUCAGCUGUGAAAGUCAAGGGCUCAACCCUUGAAAGCCGGUUGAUACUGUCGGGCUAGAGUCCGGAAGAGGCGAGUGGAAUUCCCGGUGUAGCGGUGAAAUGCGCAGAUAUCGGGAGGAACACCAAUGGCGAAGGCAGCUCGCUGGGACGGUACUGACGCUGAGACGCGAAAGCGUGGGGAGCAAACAGG
rnacentral:rRNA from 1 species